AUUGAACGCUGGCGGCAGGCCUAACACAUGCAAGUCGAACGAGUGGCGGACGGGUGAGUAAUGUCUGUGAAACUGCGCGGUGGAGGGGGAUAACUACUGGAAACGGUUGCUGAUACCGCAUACCAUCGGAUGUGCCCAGGUGGGAUGAGCUAGUAGGUGGGGUAAAGGCUCACCUAGGCGACGAUCCCUAGCUGGUCUGAGAGGAUGACCAGCCACACUGGAACUGAGACACGGUCCAGACUCCUACGGGAGGCAGCAGUGGGGAAUAUUGCACAAUGGGCGCAAGCCUGAUGCAGCCAUGCCGCGUGUAUGAAGAAGGCCUUCGGGUUGUAAAGUACUUUCAGCUAGGAGGCGUUACUCGCAGAAUAAGCACCGGCUAACUCCGUGCCAGCAGCCGCGGUAAUAC
rnacentral:rRNA from 1 species